GGGGGAGUAGCCCAAAUAAAUGGCAGAGGCAUCAGGCUUAAAACUUGAUAGUUGUGGGUUCGACCCCCACCUCCCCUACCA
rnacentral:tRNA from 1 species